rnacentral:rRNA from 1 species
GCAGCAGCCGCGGUAAUACGUAGGAUGCAAGCGUUAAUCGGAAUUACUGGGCGUAAAGCGUGCGCAGGCGGUUAUAUAAGUCAGAUGUGAAAUCCCCGGGCUCAACCUGGGAACUGCAUUUGAGACUGUAUGGCUAGAGUAUGGCAGAGGGGGGUAGAAUUCCACGUGUAGCAGUGAAAUGCGUAGAGAUGUGGAGGAAUACCGAUGGCGAAGGCAGCCCCCUGGGCCAAUACUGACGCUCAUGCACGAAAGCGGGGGGAGCAAACAGGAUUAGAUACCCGGGUAGUCCCUGUCUCUUAUAC